rnacentral:tRNA from 1 species
GCCUGGGUGGCUCAGUCGGUUGAGCGUCCGACUUCGGCUCAGGUCACGAUCUCGCGGUCCGUGAGUUCGAGCCCCACAUCGGGCU